rnacentral:rRNA from 2 species
UACGGAGGAUGCGAGCGUUAUCCGGAUUUAUUGGGUUUAAAGGGUGCGUAGGCGGUUUGUUAAGUCAGCGGUGAAAUCUAGAGGCUCAACCUCGAAACUGCCGUUGAAACUGGCGAACUUGAGUGUAGAUGAGGUAGGCGGAAUUCGUGGUGUAGCGGUGAAAUGCAUAGAUAUCACGAGGAACUCCGAUUGCGAAGGCAGCUUACUAAGGUACAACUGACGCUGAAGCACGAAAGCGUGGGUAUCAAACAGG